AUUGAACGCUGGCGGCAGGCCUAACACAUGCAAGUCGAGCGAGCGGUGGACGGGUGAGUAAUGUCUGGGAAACUGCCUGAUGGAGGGGGAUAACUACUGGAAACGGUAGCUAAUACCGCAUACCAUCAGAUGUGCCCAGAUGGGAUUAGCUAGUAGGUGGGGUAACGGCUCACCUAGGCGACGAUACCUAGCUGGUCUGAGAGGAUGACCAGCCACCCUGGAACUUAGACACGGUCCAGAAUCCUACGGGAGGCAGCAGUGGGGAAUAUUGCACAAUGGGCGCAAGCCUGAUGCAGCAAGGCCGCGUGUGUGAAGAAGGCCUGCGGGUUGUAAAGCACUUUCAGCGGGUAGGCGUUACCCGCAGAAGAAGCACCGGCUAACUCCGUGCCAGCAGCCGCGGUAAUAC
rnacentral:rRNA from 1 species